rnacentral:rRNA from 1 species
CUGAUGGCGACCGGCGCACGGGUGAGUAACACGUAUGCAACCUGCCCCUGUCAGGGGGACAACCCGCCGAAAGGCGGGCUAAACCCGCGUACAUGCCACCGGGGCAUCCCGGAGGCAGGAAAGGCUUCGGCCGGACAGGGAUGGGCAUGCGGCGCAUUAGGCAGUAGGCGGGGUAACGGCCCACCUAACCGACGAUGCGUAGGGGUUCUGAGAGGAAGGUCCCCCACACUGGUACUGAGACACGGACCAGACUCCUACGGGAGGCAGCAG